AGUGAACGCUGGCGGUAGGCCUAACACAUGCAAGUCGAACGGCAGCACAGUAAGAGCUUGCUCUUACGGGUGGCGAGUGGCGGACGGGUGAGGAAUACAUCGGACUCUACUUUUUCGUGGGGGAUAACGUAGGGAAACUUACGCUAAUACCGCAUACGACCUACGGGUGAAAGCAGGGGAUCUUCGGACCUUGCGCGAUUGAAUGAGCCGAUGUCGGAUUAGCUGGUUGGCGGGGUAAAGGCCCACCAAGGCGACGAUCCGUAGCUGGUCUGAGAGGAUGAUCGGCCACACGGGAACGUGGACACGGUCCAGACUCCUACGGGACGCAGCAGUGGGGAAUAUUGGACAAUGGGCGCAAGCCUGAUCCAGCCAUACCGCGUGGGUGAAGAAGGCCUUCGGGUUGUAAAGACCUUUUGUUGGGAAAGAAAAGCAGCAGGUUAAUACCCCGCUGUUCUGACGGUACCCAAUGAAUAAGCACCGGCUAACUUCGUG
rnacentral:rRNA from 1 species